rnacentral:rRNA from 1 species
GACGAACGCUGGCGGCGUGCUUAACACAUGCAAGUCGAACGGAAAGGCCCUGCUUUUGUGGUGUGCUCGAGUGGCGAACGGGUGAGUAACACGUGAGUAACCUGCCCUUGACUUUGGGAUAACUUCAGGAAACUGGGGCUAAUACCGGAUAGGAGCUCCUGCUGCAUGGUGGGGGUUGGAAAGUUUCGGCGGUUGGGGAUGGACUCGCGGCUUAUCAGCUUGUUGGUGGGGUAGUGGCUUACCAAGGCUUUGACGGGUAGCCGGCCUGAGAGGGUGACCGGCCACAUUGGGACUGAGAGACGGCCCAGACUCCUACGGGGGGCAGCAGUGGGGAGUAUUGCACAGUGGGCGGAAGCCUGAUGCAGCGACGCCGCGUGCGGGAUGACGGCCUUCGGGUUGUAAACCGCUUUCGCCUGUGACGAAGCGUGAGUGACGGUAAUGGAUAAAGAAGCACCGGCUAACUACGUG